UACGUAGGGUGCAAGCGUUGUCCGGAAUUAUUGGGCGUAAAGAGCUCGUAGGCGGUCUGUUGCGUCGGCUGUGAAAACUCGGGGCUCAACCCCGAGCCUGCAGUCGAUACGGGCAGACUAGAGUGCUGUAGGGGAGACUGGAAUUCCUGGUGUAGCGGUGAAAUGCGCAGAUAUCAGGAGGAACACCGGUGGCGAAGGCGGGUCUCUGGGCAGUAACUGACGCUGAGGAGCGAAAUCGUGGGGAGCGAACAGG
rnacentral:rRNA from 1 species